UACGGUCGAUCUUGUUUUAGG
ensembl:piRNA 21ur-1547 ncRNA